rnacentral:misc_RNA from 1 species
AUUCUCAUUGCAAAAUGUAUAAUAAGAUUGGAAUUGUCAAACAGCCGCACAAAUUUAAAUUGCAAGAUUGAUUUUGUGUAAAAACUAAAUGCUUGUCAAGAAAAAUUGCCAAAGUAAACUAAGGGCUAAUAAAGGACAAGAAAAAAAAGGUGAGGUAGCUUCUGUAGGAGCUGCAACUGUGAAGAAUGUGCUAUCCAAGUUCAUACAAGCCGCAAUUUACUCUCUAAUUCCAGUUCCCGAGUUCUCCACGUCAAUUUCUCCCAUACCUGUAUCUUCCUCCUCUUCACUAUCUUCAUCACCACUGAUCUCCUCAUUUUCACGACCGAGCUUAGCCAUCUGUUCAGCAAGCAAUUUGUCUUCCCGUUCACUCACCGCUCUUGGAGCCUCCUUGACAGCAAGUUUUCCUUUGUGACGCUCUAUUUCCUCAGUGCAAGCUGCAAUUGCUUUAGUAAGGAUUGCUAUGCCUUGCUCCUUGUCAAGAGUCUGAGUAUUGAGCACAUAUGCCGGAGGAGCAACAAGUUUAAUUUUAACAGGGCAAUCAUCAUUACCCGCAGCUUCAGCUUUGCGCAUAGCUUCCUUAAUGUGAAGAACACCAUCAAGG